rnacentral:misc_RNA from 1 species
AGUCCCUGUUCAUAUAAAAGCCACUACCAGAUAAGACUGGUCCUUUCAGCCCAUCCAUGCCAUGCCAUAAUAUCUCAAAUGUGGAUCUUAUUAGACCGUCAUCAUGGAUGUCAGUCUUAUUGAAGUUAUGAAAUCUCUGAGGGAACUGAACAAAUGCUAGAGAGGAAGAGAUGUUGGAAUCAAGGUAGAAACACAUAGCUUGCCUAGCUGAAGUUGGGUCAUUGCAGUACAUGUCACAAUCUAGCACUAGUACAUAGGGAGAGUUGCUAAUUACCCCAGAGACCCUAAGAAGUGCAUUAAGGGCUCCAGCCUUAAAAUUAUGAGGAUGAGAAGGCCUUUUCUCACGAGAAACAUAAACAACAAGGGGCAUCUCGUUGGAAUUCUCCUGAAUCACCUCUAUGAGAGCAGGGUGAUCUCGAGUGGUAGUAA